rnacentral:rRNA from 1 species
UACGUAGGGGGCGAGCGUUGUCCGGAUUUAUUGGGCGUAAAGCGCGUGUAGGCGGCCAUGCAGGUCCGUUGUGAAAACUGGAGGCUCAACCUCCAGACGUCGAUGGAAACCGCGUGGCUAGAGUCCGGAAGAGGAGAGUGGAAUUCCUGGUGUAGCGGUGAAAUGCGCAGAUAUCAGGAAGAACACCGAUGGCGAAGGCAGCUCUCUGGGACGGUACUGACGCUGAGACGCGAAAGCGUGGGGAGCGAACAGG